UUUCCGUAGGUGAACCUGCGGAAGGAUCAUUACAGAGUUCAUGCCCUCACGGGUAGAUCUCCCACCCUUGAAUAUUUAUACCUUAGUUGCUUUGGCAGGCCGUGGAAACACCAUGGGCUCCGGCUUAUGCGUGCCUGCCAGAGGAAACAAACACUGUUUUUAGUGAUGUCUGAGUACUAUAUAAUAGUUAAAACUUUCAACAACGGAUCUCUUGGUUCUG
rnacentral:misc_RNA from 1 species